CGGUUGAUCCUGCCGGUGGUCACUGCUAUAAAAUUUCGAUUAAGACAUGCUAGUUUAGAUUUGUGUUUACAUAGAUCAGCGUACAGCUCAGUAAUACAUAAUUAACAUACUAUCAGGUAGUGGAUAUCCUCGGGAAACUGAGGUUAAUACACUAUAAUCAUUAACUUCUGGAAAGAUUCUAUGAUUAAAGCUUCGGCGCCUGAUAAUUGGAUUAUGCCUUAUUAGGUCGUAGUGGGUGUAAAGGACCCCCUAGCCUACGAUAAGUACGGGUCAUGAGAGUGAUAGCCCGGAGACGAAUUCUGAGAUAAUAAUUCGGUUACUACGGUAUACCAGCAGUCGCGUAACAUUCACAAUGGGGGAAACCCUGAUGAUGGGAGUUUUAGUGCUACAUUUGUAGCUGUAUAGAAGUUUAAAUAGCUUUUAGAGAAAGGACAGGGUAAUACAUGUGCCAGCCUCCGCGGUAAAACAUGAUGUCCAAGUGGUGAUCGCUUUUAUUGAGUCUAAAACGUUCGUAGCCUGUAAAUUGUACCUAUAGUGAAACCUACUUGCUUAACAAGUAGAAUAUUAUAGCCAUACGUUUACUAGAAAUUGGAUGAGGUUUGUGGUACUGCUUGGGUAGAGAUAAAAUCCGUUGAUCCUUGCAUGACCAGCGAUGUAGCGAAGGCAACAAACCAAUACAAAUUUGACGGUCAGGAACGAAACCUAGGGUAGCAACGGGGAUUAGAUACCCCCUUAGUCCUAGGCGUAAACGCUGCUGACUAGAUAUUGGAAAUUUUCAGUGUCCAAGCGAAGGCGAUAAGUCAGCUACUUGAGGAUUACGUCCGCAAGGAUGAAACUUAAAGGAAUUGGCGGGGGAGCACCGCAACGAGUGGAGCGUGCGGUUUAAUUGAACCCAACGCCCGAAAACUUACCAAGAACCACUGAAAAUAUGAAUGACAGUCUGAAGGGCUUUCUUGAUUUCAGAAAGGUGGUGCAUGGCCAUCUCAAAUUAAUGCUGUGAAGUUUUCUAUUAAGUUAGAUAAUUAAUGAGAUUUGCAACGUCUUUUGCUAGUCGAACUUUCGAGUUCGAAGAUAAAUGACGUGACUACCCGUGAUAAAAAAUGGGGGGAAGAUGCAAGCUAAGGUAGGUCUGUAUGCCCCGAUGUUUCUUGGGCUACACGCGCGCUACAAUGGACAAGACAACGAGUCGUGACAUCGCAAGAUGGAACUAAUCUCUAAACUUGUUCGUAAUUCGGAUAGAAGUCUGUAACUCGGCUUCUUGAAGGUGGAAUUCGUAGUAACUGUGGGUUAACAUCCCGCGUUGAAUAUGCCACUGCUCCUUGCACACACCGCCCGUCAA
rnacentral:rRNA from 1 species